AUUGCCUCAGUAACGGCGAGUGAAGCGGCAACAGCUCAAAUUUGAAAUCUGGCCCCCCGCGCGGGGGGCCCGAGUUGUAAUUUGCAGAGGAUGCUUUUGGCGAGGCGCCUUCCGAGUUCCCUGGAACGGGACGCCACAGAGGGUGAGAGCCCCGUCUGGUCGGACGCCGAGCCUCUGUAAAGCUCCUUCGACGAGUCGAGUAGUUUGGGAAUGCUGCUCCAAAUGGGAGGUAUAUGUCUUCUAAAGCUAAAUACCGGCCAGAGACCGAUAGCGCACAAGUAGAGUGAUCGAAAGAUGAAAAGCACCUUGAAAAGGGGGUUAAACAGUACGUGAAAUUGUUGAAAGGGAAGCGCUCGUGACCAGACGCGGGGGGGGCGGAUCAGCCGGCGUUCUCGCCGGCGCACUCCGCCCGUCCCGGGCCAGCAUCAGUUCGCGCCCGGGGGACAAAGGCGGCGGGAACGUGGCUCCCCAGGGAGUGUUAUAGCCCGCCGCGCAAUGCCCUGGGGCGGACUGAGGUCUUCGCGCAUCCCGCAAGGAUGCUGGCGUAAUGGUCACCAGCGACCCGUCUUGAAACACGGACCAAGGAGUCGUCUUCGUAUGCGAGUGUUCGGGUGUCAAACCCCUACGCGGAAUGAAAGUGAACGCGGGUGAGAGCUUCGGCGCAUCAUCGACCGAUCCUGAUGUUCUCGGAUGGAUUUGAGUAGGAGCAUACGGGGCCGGACCCGAAAGAAGGUGAACUAUGCCUGUGUAGGGUGAAGCCAGAGGAAACUCUGGUGGAGGCUCGCAGCGGUUCUGACGUGCAAAUCGAUCGUCAAACAUGGGCAUGGGGGCGAAAGACUAAU
rnacentral:rRNA from 2 species